AGCAGUGAGGAAUAUUGGUCAAUAGCCUAACGGCUGAACCAGCAACUUGGAGGAAUGUAUAGCGAAAGCUAGUUGCAUUAAAUUCGAUUAAUUCGAAGUUAAUGCAUCAUCGACUAUGUCGAAUAAAGUUCUAGGUAGAGUUAUGAUAAUGACAUUAUCUAUCUAUGUGUCUUGACCAAGUCACGUGCCAGCAGUCGCGGUAAUACGUGGAAGACUAGUGUUAUUCAUCUUUAAUAGGUUUAAAGGGUACUUAGACGGUAAAUUUAGCCCAGAUAAAAACAAAGGGUACUAAUUAUACUAGAGUUUUAUAUGAGGAGGGUGUGUACUAGUGGUGUAGAGAUGAAAUUCUGUCAUACCAUUAUGACAGGCGACGGCGAAAGCAACCUUUAGAUAAAAACUGACGUUCAAGGASGAAGGCUUUGUGUCACCAACAGGAUUAGAUACCCAAGCAGUCUUAGCAGACAAUUAUGAAUGCCAUAGAUAAGAAAUCCUUAGAUAAAAAAGAGAACAUUUAUUUUUCUUUUUUGGAAUCUAACCUCCAAAAAUGAAAGAGGAUGGACUUAUCUAUUUUUUUUUAAAAAAAAAAUGDAAAACAAAAAAAAAAAAGGAUGUAUUUUUUGUCUAUAAAUGAAAGUGUAAGCAUUUCACCUCAAGAGUAAUGUGGCAACGCAGAAACUGAAAUCAUUAGACCGUUUCUGAAACCAGUAGUGAAGUAUGUUGUUUAAUUAGAUGGUCCGCAAAAAACCUUACCACAAUUUGUAUAUUAUUAGCUUAAUACAGGAGUUGCACGGCUGUCUUCAGUUAAUGUCGUGAGAUUUUGGUUAGUUCCAUUAAAUUAACGUAAACCCUUACUUUAUUUUAUAUAAAGUAGUUCCCCGCUAUAUUGGAUAUGAUAACCAGGGACUAAGACAAGUCAUCAUGGCCUGC
rnacentral:rRNA from 1 species